GCCUGGGUGGCUCAGUCGGUUAAGCAUCUGACUUCAGCUCAGGUCACGAUCUCGCGGUCCGUGAGUUCGAGCCCCGCAUCGGGCU
rnacentral:tRNA from 1 species